rnacentral:rRNA from 1 species
UACGUAGGGACCGAGCGUUGUCCGGAUUCAUUGGGCGUAAAGAGCUCGUAGGCGGCCAUUCAAGUCGAACGUGAAAUCUCGGAGCUCAACUCCGAGCCUGCGUUCGAUACUGGGCGGCUAGAGUCUGGUAGGGGGAUCUGGAAUUCCUGGUGUAGCGGUGGAAUGCGCAGAUAUCAGGAGGAACGCCGGUGGCGAAAGCGCGUCGCUGGACCCCUCCUGACGCUGAGGCGCGAAGGCCAGGGGAGCAAACGGG